ensembl:lncRNA
AUGUCACAUAUAUUUACAUACACAUGUGUAUAUGCACACAUGUAUACAUACAUACACACAUAUUUACAUGCCUAUAUAGACACAUGCAUGCAUGCAUAUAUUUACAUAUACACGGAUAUGCAUGUAUAUACACAUAUAUACAUAUAUUUACAUACACAUAUGUAUACACAUAUAUAUACACACAUGUAUGAAAAGAUAUGCACAUGGGCAGGGCUGGUAUGUCUAAGAAAAGAUACAUACAUAGAGACUAUACUAGAAAGAAGAUAUGAAGCAAACGAGACAAAAUGCUCACAAUUAAUGAAUUGGUUGAAGGGAACAAACAUUUCUUUGUGCUAUUCUUGCAACUUUUUUCUCAGGCUAAAAUUAUACAUCACAAUAGCUAAUGUACGAAUCACGAUGGCAACACGCUGUGUAAUCUCAGCAGAGGUGGCCUGGGGACGCUGGGCCUGUGGCGGGAAGAAUAAAGGCAGAGUGAGGCACCCUGGGAUGCAUCCGUCUCUCUCUCUCCUCUCCCUAGGUCUGAUGGUCUCCUACCCACACCUUCACAGAUGAUGAGCAAAUGGGUCUUUCCUUAGGUUCCUGCAAAUAUGGACUUAUCACACAUCCACACUGAUGCCAGAAAUGUCAUGGCUACAUGUUGACUUACAGUAAUGAAUGGAGACCCCAGCACCCAGCAUGGCCACAGCACGAUGCUAAGGAGAAGCAAAGAGCAAGCCAGCUCUGGAUGUCUCCUGGAGUCAAGCGAAGCUUGGGUCCUGGCUGCUCAAAGUGCACCCCCAGACCAGCGACAUCAGUGUCACCUGGGAGCUUGCAAGACUCCUAUGCCUGCCCCGACUCACUGGAUCAGGAUCUGCAGCUCUACAGAUCUACAGGUGAUUCUUGGGUCAAUUCAUGUUAGAGGAAAAACUGGUUUAGGAUGUACUCUUUAUGGGAAAGAAGGCCUUUUUUUUUUUUUUUAAAGAGACAGAGUCUUUCUCUGUCACCCAGGCUGGAGUGCAGUUGUGUGAUCAUAUCUCAUUGCAGCCUCAACCUCCUGGGCUCAAGUGAUCCUUCCAUCUCAAAGAACUGGGCUACAGAUGUAAGCCACCGCACCCGGGUCAUUUAUUUUUAUUUUUGUAGAGAUGGGGGUUCUGCCCUGUUGCCCAGGCAGAUCUUGAACUCCUAGGCUCAGGCAAUCCUCCUGCCUCAGUCUCCCAAAGUGCUGGGAUUACAGGCAAGAGCUACUGCGCCCAGCCAGGAGACAAAUGUUUUAAUCAAAGUUGUUAAGCCCAGGAAGCAAUAGAGGAAGGUCAGACACAGAUUCCUACCACCGUCCACUCCAUCUGUCCCUGACCCGUGACAAGCAGCUAAUAUGCCUAUCAUAGAAGAGGUCAGUUAGAUGCCCCGGCAGGUGGUCAGAGCUACCUGCUCAUUGUUACUGGGGAAGAAAGAAACAUUAGAAUGUUUUCCCGAAGCCCCCUGGGAAACCAGCCCCUAUCUACCUGUGCGUUCGUGCAGCUCCUGUUCCCUGAGCCUCCACCACUUAACAGCGAAGCACCUUGUUGGCUAAAAAACCAUCAUUGUGCGGGCACCGGACACGUGCAUCAGCCAGCGUGUGGGCGGGGGCUGCUGGGAAGGCAUCCACUGCGUGUCAUAAACCUGCCCUUGGCAGCAGCCAGUCAGUGACCUCACACGUGGCCUUCGCCUCAGCCUUGCGGUAAUGACCUAAAUAAAGCUGGAGUGAAGCAUUUCCUCCCGAGAGUCUACAAGACAGGCACAUUACUCAGAAGAUAGAGUGCAGUGGUAAUGACUUCAGAAUCUUAAAAUAAGUCCCAUGUAGCCUAAAUCAACUUCCCAAGGCCUAAUAGUCUAGCUUGGUGUGGGGCAUAACGUACCCUCUAAAUUCUCAGAUAUGCAAUGGGUGUCUUUCCUGAAGGUAAGAAAUGGUGAGAAUCUCUCCCUCGAAGCAGAAAGUGCCCGGGUGCAGUUACCCCAGAUUUAGCUGUGAUGUCAUCCAGUUACCCGACAGACAUGGAAACCGAUGGCUCCCCAGCUGUUUGGACGGGAGAUGCUUAAGCCCAAUUGUGGUUUCCCGGAAUUCUUCCUCCUCCAGCACAGCCUCUGGGAAACCAAAUAUUUUUUCUCACUGACACAGGUUUUGAAUAAAUACUGCCAUUAAGGAUUCCAUGGUACUUCAAAUAAACAUGGGCUAGUCAGUUACCAAUGUCUAAAUCUCGCUUUAUUGUUUUGAAAACAAAUUUUAAAGACCAUGAUUCUCCCACCGUCUGCUUGACUUGAAUCUGUUGAAAAAGCCCAUCUUUCGCCUUUGCAUUUAGGGACACAGAAAGGACAAGCGUGGUGGAUGCUGCUCCUCGCCCUGCAACGAUGCUGCCGCUGGGGAAGCGGGUGUUUCUUCCUGAGCGAGCCAUCUUGUCCCGGGCAGAGGUGUGAAUAACCCCUCUGACUCUCUGCACCGAGAUUUAGGGGAAGGAUCAGUGGACAGCUCAGGAAGUGCCGCUCUCAAACCUGCUGGGCAGCCGGCUCCGUGUGGCUUAAGAAGAGGUGCACAUGGAGGUUGCAGUUGUGUGAAAGUAAGAGGACUCUCAUAGUGACCUAAAGUCACCUGCCAGGUCACCUGCCAAGUCCAGAUCCUCUAAGGAACAAGGGCUAUGGCUUGGAUAUUUGUCCCCUCCAAGCUUCAUGUUGAAAUUUGGUCUCCCAGCCCGGGCACGGUGGUUCACGCCUGCGAUCCCAGAAUUUUGGAGAGGCCAAAGUGAGUGGAUCGCUUGAGCCCAGGAGUUCAAGACCAGCCUGGGCAGCAUAGCAAGACACCCCCGACUACAAAAAAACUACAGAAAUUAGCCAGGCAUGGUGGCAUGCACCUGUAGUUCCAGCUACUAGGGAGGCUGAGCCUCAGGGAGGAUCACCUGAGCCUGGGAGGUUGAGGCUGCAGUGGAAAGUUAAAUUCGAUUUAAAAAAUGUGGUCUCAGUGUUGGAGGUGGAGCCUAAUGGGAAGCAUUUGGGUAAGGAGGGGAGAUCCCUCAUGAAUGGACUAAUGCCCUCCCUGAGGGUGAGUGGGUUCUCACUCAUUAGUUCCCAAGAAAGCUGAUUGCUGGAAAGGACCUGGCACUUCCCCUCCUUCCCGCUGGGUCCUCCUUGCCCUGUGGUCUCUGCACACCCAGCUCCACUUUGCCCUCCCCCAUGAGUGGAAGCAGCCUGAGGCCUUCCCCAGAUGCAGAUGCCCAACCAUGGACUUUUCCAGCCAACUGGAAUCAUGAACCAAAUAAACCAUACAUGUAUACAUACACAUACAUACAUAUAUAUAGACGUAUGUAUAGAUUAUCCAGCCCCAGCAUUCCUUUAUAAGGGCACAAUUAAGAAACUAACCCAAGCAGGGACGGGAAAUAAAACUAUGAUUAAGCUCAACAUGGAAAGCGAGCGCCUCUAAUCUCCCUGAUAUUGGGUAGCUAGCUCACGUAGCAGCUGCCCCACUCCCUUGGGGAAAGGGAUUUCUGAUCGCCAAGGACACCAGUGGUUAUGAUGUCACUGAUCGUAAAGCUGUUAGAGGUUAACUGUCCCCAUCUACUUCCAAAUGAGCUUGUGCAACCCUGGCC